rnacentral:rRNA from 1 species
CCUACGUGAGGCAGCAGUGGGGAAUAUUGCGCAAUGGGCGAAAGCCUGACGCAGCGACGCCGCGUGAGGGAUGAAGGUCUUCGGAUCGUAAACCUCUGUCAGCAGGGAAGAACGGUCACUGUGCUAAUCAGCAGUGAAUUGACGGUACCUGCAAAGGAAGCACCGGCUAACUCCGUGCCAGCAGCCGCGGUAAUACGGAGGGUGCGAGCGUUAAUCGGAAUUACUGGGCGUAAAGCGCUCGUAGGCGGUAUGUCAAGUCAAGGGUGAAAUCCCCGCGCUCAACGGGGGAACUGCCUUUGAAACUGGCAAACUGGAGUGUGUGAGAGGAUAGUGGAAUUGCAGGUGUAGGAGUGAAAUCCGUAGAUAUCUGGAGGAACAUCAGUGGCGAAGGCGACUAUCUGGCACAUAACUGACGCUGAGGAGCGAAAGCGUGGGUAGCAAACAGGAUUAGAUACCCUUGUAGUC